AAAAUAUUUGUCUGUGAACAGGUUGGUUGCACAAUUUUGAACUUACAAAAUGAAGUUAGUAAUAAGUUUCCUCAUUUUUAGUUGAAACAAUCAGGCAGUAGCAAUGACUAGUCCUGUCUCUUAACUUUUUCUUUGCAUGUGCUUGUAAUCCUGACUAAAAGAACAAAACUUCAACAAUGAUAGGAUCUCUGUGUAUCUUGAUUAAUGCCAAGAACUUUAUCUAGUAUAGCUCAUUUGUAGGAUAAGGCUAUCCAGGAGUUUUUUUCUGUUGAAAAACGGAAAUGGAGUAGAUGGAAGUUUGUGUGACUCUGGAUUGACUUCAGCUUAAUGAACACUGAAGUAAUUGCCAUUGCCUUAUAAAAUUCUUACUUUAGCUAUUAUAGUAUAUUCUUUAUGUCAGAAACAACAAACUCUAGACCUACCUAGCAAUUGACUUGUGCCCUUCAAUAAGUGUUUUUCCCCUCCAUCAUGUUUUCCAUGGCGAUGGAGCAGAUGGAAGAUUAUGUAACUCUGGAUUGAUACCGGCUUAAUGAACUCCA
rnacentral:misc_RNA from 1 species